GACAGAGGUGCCAAGCGUUAGGCGGAAUCACUGGGCUUAAAGCGUGUGUAGGCGGAUCGUUAAGUCCCUUGUGAAAUCCCACGGCUCAACCGUGGAACUGCUGGGUAUACUGGCGAUCUUGAGCCACCUAGGGGCGAGCGGAACAAGCGGUGGAGCGGUGAAAUGCGUAGAUAUCGCUUGGAACGCCAAUGGUGAAAGCAGCUCGCUGGGGGUGUGCUGACGCUGAGACACGAAAGCCAGGGGAGCGAACGGG
rnacentral:rRNA from 1 species